UCCUAAGUUAGGUCUUUGUUUCCAAUCACCAAGAUGGCAGUGUUCCUCACUUUGGUUCUUGUUGCUGUAAUCCUUGUUGAGCCAGUUGUGAAUGCUAGAUACUCACCAUUGGAUGGUGAUAAGCGACUCAAUUCACUGGACAAUGAGCAUCUUGUAACUAAUUUGCCUGGCCAGCCAGAUGUGGACUUCCGGCACUAUGCUGGUUAUGUUACAGUGAAUGAAAAUAAUGGAAGGGCACUCUUCUAUUGGUUCUACGAGGCCACCACUCACCCUGAUGAAAAACCUCUAGUGCUGUGGCUUAAUGGAGGUCCUGGGUGCUCUUCUGUGGGAUAUGGAGCAACACAAGAGAUUGGACCUUUCCUAGUGGACACUGAUGGACAUGGAAUUAAAUAUAAUCCCUACUCAUGGAAUAGAGAGGCCAACAUGUUAUUCCUGGAGUCCCCGGUUGGAGUUGGUUUUUCAUACUCAAAUACAACUAGUGACUACAGUGUUCUGGGAGAUAAUUUUACAGCAAUUGAUGCUUACGCUUUCUUGCAAAAGUGGUUUCGCAAAUUUCCAUCAUAUAGAACGCGGACAUUUUAUAUUGCUGGGGAAAGCUAUGCAGGAAAAUAUGUUCCGGAGCUUGCUGAGCUGAUACUUGACCGGAACGUGGAUUCAUUCCUUCACAUUGAUCUCAGGGGUAUUCUGAUGGGCAAUCCUGAAACAAGUGAUGCUGAGGACUGGGCAGGUAUGGUGGAUUAUGCUUGGAGCCAUGCUGUCAUAUCAGAUGAAACCCACAAGAUAAUCGGAAAAAGCUGCAACUUUAGAAGUAAUGAUACAUGGAGCAAUAAUGAUUGUAGCCAAGCUGUCGAUGAAUUAUUCAGACAGUACAACGAGAUAGAUAUUUUCAGCCUCUACACCUCAAUUUGUAUUGGUGAUGCAGCAAGUUCAGACGACAAAUCUAGGCAGGUCAAGUUUAUGCAUACAUCUACAAUGAUGCCAAGGAUCAUGGGUGGUUAUGAUCCAUGCCUGGAUGAAUAUGCAGGAGCUUUCUAUAAUAGACCUGAUGUUCAAAAGGCCCUCCACGUCAGUGAUGGUCACAGGCUCGAGAACUGGAGCAUCUGCAAUCAUAAGAUAUUCGACAAGUGGUCAGAUUCAAAGCGAUCAGUUCUUCCUAUAUACAAGAAAAUGAUUGCGGCUGGUCUUAGAAUAUGGGUCUACAGUGGAGAUACA
rnacentral:misc_RNA from 1 species